GUGACACGUUUCGCAUGAGGAAAGAGAGCCUCUUGCACUGAGGCUGCCUAAUUGACAGUCAGUGGCUCCAUACAGAGUGGCACUGGGCGGGGAGGGAGCGGGCCAGAGCGGCUCCCCUCAGCUCCUGUCUGCCCUCUGGCCCCAGGCAGGCCUUCAGCAGCUGAGGCAUUCUCAGCAGAGCUGUCUGCAGGGCAGGACAGCCUUGACUCCGGGUGCCUUCAGAGUCUCCCAGCCUCGGCCUCUCCAGCCCCGUCAUGCAGGUUCCUGGAAGCCGGACUUUGUACUCGCUGAGCAGUCACGGCUACCCUGCUCCUCUCAGGACUCCAGCACCAAGCACUCGGUAGAUUCCCGGCAAGUGUUUAUGGGAUGUGUCAAAGGCGGGGAUUUGGAAGGAAGUCUGCUGUGUCAGGGUUGGCCAUUCCUCUUGGCAGAGGUCUGGAGGUGAGCGGGAGGCUUCCAGGAACUGGGUUGAAUCUCUAAGGUCACCAUCCACUGGCUGGCUUGCAGGAGAUAUUUCUGGGGCGGGGACGCUCUGGUAGUUAUUCGGGCAGCAUUAGGCAUCCUUCGGAGCACAGCAAGUGUGAUGCGCUUGUGUCACAGUCCCCAGGGGCUUGUACUUCACAGUCAUCCCUGGGAGUCUGGUGCAGUGGGUCUGAAGACCACACCUGGACAAACACUUCUGAGAAGCAGGGGAGCUGGGGGCCCUGGUCAUGGGACAUCUCAGUAGAAGCAAGGCGUGCAUGUAUUUAUGUGUUGGAGGGGUGGUGGCUGGAGCCCUGGCAAUGACAAGGAAUCUAAAGCCUAUUAUUUCUAUUCAGGAACCUCAUUCUACAUAUGUACUUCUGGCUACCUGUGGGCAAAAUCCAAAAGUGAGGCUAGCCUUCUGGGAACCAGUUCCAGGACCUUGGAAGAAGAGGAAGACACCACCAGAUGUGAGGAGGAAAAGGAGCCCUCCCUGCCCCAUGCCCAGGGGCCUCUGUUCCCUCCACCCACUGAAGGGCCUGCAGCUGUGAAACCAAUGCUACCACCUCCUCCCACUCUCUUUACACCGCGGGAACCCCAGUCUUCGUGCUCAAACAAUCCACACUCGUCUGCCUCAGAAGCGUCCUCAUGCACGCUGAUCCUUCGUCUGCAGUGCUCUCUGCCUUCUCCCAUCUUCUUCCUCUGGUGGCUCCUCUCUCCCCUUGUACACCUUCCAGACUUGCUGCUCUGUGUAUACCAUUUGCAGCAUUCAGUACUCUCGUCAUUAUAUAUUCCUUGUCUGUCUUCCCUACUGGACUGUGAACUCCACGAUAAGAGGGCCACACCUGUGUGUCCUGUCCUCUGCUGUGUUCCUGUGGCUACCGCCCAUGGUGCAUGCCACCUGGCAAGCACUCAGGUGGGAAGACAAAACUUAGACAAACUCAUGUGUUUUAACACAUGUAGGCUUGUACUCUGUUAGGCCCCAAGCCUGGAGGGGGAGGCGGGAGGGAGACACCCUUCCUCCCCUCACGGGACGGGGGCGGCUAGGAUGUAGGGGUAGGAUCAUCACCACCAAUCAUCAUAUCAGUUCAUGUAAAAGAGCAACUGUGAUGAGUGCUGUAAAAGAGAGGCUCAGGGCCAACAGAGAGCACAGGGAAAGACUGAAGAAGUAAGGAGGCUGUGAUGUUUACAUAGGAAAUGUCUCCCAAAGACUCCUGUGUUGAAGGUACAAUCCCCAGCGUAGCAGUGCCCAGAGGGGCCUAGAAAGGUGAUUGGGCAAUAAAAGCACUGACCUCAUUAAUCUAUUAAUGAGCUCAUUGUUGAAUGGGCUGUUAGAAGCUGGGCUUUGUUGGAGGAAGUAGGUCACUGGGGUAGGCCUUUGAAGAAAAUUUCUCUUCUCAGGCUUUUUUGUUUUUUCUCUGCUUCCUGGUUGCCAUGAGGCGAGCAGAUUUCCUCCCUCAUUCCCUUUCUGUCAUCAUGCUUCUACUCUGAAGCUUUCCAACUAUGGAAACUGUGAGUCAAAAUUAACCUUGCGGCCUUUAAAUUGAGAAUGUUACAAAAAGCUGACAAACUAAGAGAUCAGGAGAUGCUUCCUUAGAAGAUACAAUUUGCCUCAAAUGGAGAAGGUUGCACAGAGCAACAGUGAGAGGAAGAACAUUCUGGAUGUAGGGAGUAGCAUGCGCAAAGGCCCUGAGGCAGCAGGGAACGUGGCUUCUAUAAGGAAUAAAAGCCUGAAAGAACUGAAAUGUGUGGAGUGAGUGGGGAGCCUAGAAGCAGGCAGAGGCCAGAUCAUGCAGGGCCUUGUCAACUAAGGUAAGGAAUUUGUGUCUUUAUCUAAAAGCAAACGAUUUAAACACUGAAGAAUUUCAAUAGCAGAAUGGUGGGCAACUGCAGCAUUGAUAUGAUCAGAAUUGCAUUUUAAAAAGGUCACUCGGGCUUUCCUGUGGAAAAGAGGGGAAGGACGCAAGAAGAGGGAAAAAGAUCAGCCGGUGGUGCACUGCAGCCACCCAGGCCUGGCCCAUGGUGGUAAAGGUCUAGAGCCGUGAAGAGUUUUGAGAGAAUAUUUUCAAGCCACAUCACAGCUUGGUAGCAAAACCAGGACCAGCACCUGCCCCCGUCCUUUGCACCUGUCUGCAGCUGCUGGCCUUCCGUCAUGGGCCCACCGUAAGGAGGUGUUCCCAGGCUUCCUCCCGAAGUGCCCCUGCUUUUACCCAGUCUCUGUGCCUGUAUUCUGUGCUGUGUCCUUGGGGAUGCCUACAUGUGUUUUCAAGGCUGGAAGGCACUGGCUGGCCCUCCUAGGGGGUGGCUUUUUCUUAUCACAGGUGCUUUGCAUGCUGGGAAUUGUAGUUCUGGAGCUGGAAACCUGGGCCUGCUCCUGACUGUGGAUCUGGCAGGCAGCCUGGUUGCCAUGGCAGCAGCUGGGCUGGAGCCAUCCAACCAUUUCAUCCACAGCUCUGUUGGCUCUGAGAGCUCCCAGCAAGAAAGCUUGGGCUCUGGAGAGGAGGCGGAGGAGGAAGAAGGGGGGAUGAGGGAGGAAGGACCCUUUGGGGUCGUCCUCAGAGCUCUGAGCUAAGCCUCACUCUGCUCUGGGGCUUGUGUACUGACUUGAGAGUAGUCACGGGUUCAUCCCCCCCAGAGUGUGGCUCCCUAGCACUGAUCACCUUGGCUGCUCUGUGUGUGCCAAGCAGCCCCUGUAGGUCCAGUUCUGUGAACGCAGAAGUCUGCACUAGACACAGAGAAAAGGGCCAGCCCUCCUCCCCAGGGACCUCAGAGCCUGCAUAGGAAAUAGGUCCAAGAGAAUGACCUGAAAGGAAAAGCUCUGUCCACUUCCCCUCUGAAAUGUCCCUAGAACCCAUUCCCUUCCUUCUGCUCCUUGGCCACAGUCCUAGCUCAUUCAAUCUGCCCCCUGGAGAAGGCUUUCUAAAAUGCAAAUCUGGUCCUGUCACACUCCUGCUUAAAAUUCUUCAAUGGCUCCCCUUUGCCCACGACUGGAUCAAGUCCAAACUCUCUAGUAGGACCAUUCAUGGCCUUUCAGAGUCUGGCUUAAGUCUCCCCCCUGCCCAGAGAUCCUCCUGCGUCCCCGUCUGCUGCAGCCACCCAGAAGUUUCCUGGUUCCUCCUUCAUCGCUCUACCCCGGCACAGGGCCACUUCUCUCCAAUCCUACCCAGCAAACCCAGCUGAGCUCCACCUACUUGGUGAAAUCCUCCAAACUUCUUCUUCACCAGGGGAGGAAUGAAUGGCCUGCUGCUCAGAGCUCCCAGAACACUUUGUACAUUAUUUGCAAGUACUUAUCACCCGCCUUGUGAUUAUUGUCUCUAUAGCUCCGCCCGCCCCCCUGCCUGCUGCAUCUCAGCCAUCCUGGAGUCCCCAGUGCCCAGCACAGCAUCUGGCACAAGGUAGACAUUCCAUAAAUGGUGAGUGGCAUUGAACUUACCAAAAGAAGGCUAUUUGGGCCUUUACUGCUUUCUUCUCCCCUUCGCUGGACCCUAUUCCAUUGCCAUUUCUUCCCUGUUCUCCCUUGGGGCCCUGUACACCUUGAGCACUGAAGGCAGACCUGAUCCACUGGUGCCUUCUCUUCUGGGCAGGGUUGGUACAGCCACCUGCAUACAAAGGCUGUAAGCCUCUUCACACCACUUGGGAAUUUGUAUCAACUCUUACCUGGGUCUCUAGAGAGGAAGUACCCUGUCUUCAGUGGAGCCAUGAUUUAUGGACCCUGCUCCAAGAGCUGAAAAAACUAAUUAGGCUUCCCUGCUUCUCUACCUGGAGGCAAAAUAAUUCCAGGAAAAUCUUUCCUCCUGGACAGAGAUCUAUCUGCUCCAGCCUUAGCUCUGAGGCAUCCCCAUCCAGGCUUGCACCUCUAUGGACUAUGCUCUGGUCAGGAGCUCUGAGCUCCCUGGGCCAGCUUUCAUGCAGAAAACCAUGACUACUCAACACAUUGCAGGUCUUUCCUAGGUUCCCAUUCUUUCUAAAUCUCAUACUAGGAUAAAAAAAAAUCCUUGCCUGUCUAGAUCAUUUAUUUGCAUACACAAUCAUUCAAUCAUUCACAUACAACGAAGAUUUUUUAAGUACCUGCAAUAGCCAGAUGCUGCAUUAGUCUAAGAAUGCAGAGGUGAAUCAGUGACACAGUCCUUGCCCUCAGGAAGCUUCCGGUUUGUGGGAAGAUCACCCUUACAGCACUUAUGGUCACAGUGCAGACUGUCAAGGGCAGCCUGGCCUGAUCUAGGACAUAAGACAUUUUUGUUCAAUGAUGAUUUAUUGUUUAUCUGUGAUACCGGCAUGAAAGAGAGAGAUAGGACUCGCUCAGGCCCCACUUACACAGAAAAAGCACAAACCAAGCUCUGAAAAAUCACUGCACACUGCAGUGGAGGGCCAGGAAGGAGGAAGGUGAGAACUGUGUAGCUGGAAACAGAGCUCCAGGCUCCCUGGGGUCUUGGCUAGACCGUCUCACACGGGGAGUCAGGCUGCUUUGCACCUAGCAGAGGUGAGCAUGAAUGAGGGAGCCCUGGCAGGACUGACGGGGAGCGUGGAAGUUGACUUGUGCUGUCUCCUUACUGCGGCUGCCAAUGCUGAGCCUGCACCCUGAGCUGCAUCCUCAGGCCCUGCCUCUGCACCUAUGGCUGCUGAGAAUCAGGGUGUUGACUCAAAAGGUCUGGGGUUCCAGGACCUGGAAGAACAUAAGAGCUGGUAGGGAGUGAGGAAUAGGGCAGGUGAGUGGGUGGAGGCCCACUGAUGCUUCCAGAGAAAAAAUGGCCAUCUUGCUCUGGGUCUAGUUCCUCAUCUAUGAAAUCUGCAGUCAGACAAGGAAGGCUCUCAGGGCACCUUGGCUUCUCUUCCUUCUGCAGUUGGAACAGGGAAAUGGUAGCAGGAGGCUCUGCAAAGAAACCCUGGCUCCACCCUCUGCCAAGGGACCCAAAUCAGUAUUUCUUGACAUUUUUCAGGAUGCUCUCAGUGCCAGUGACAUUUCUGAGACCUGCUCUCUGACAGGGCUGGAGAAUACAAGACUGACCCCAAAGCCACACUCCAGGCCCAGACCAGCUGUGAUCACAGGCCCCGCUUGGGAACAAGCCUUAUAUUCCAAAUAGCAGCAAAUCACCUCUCUAGCACCAGCCUCACUCAGAGAGCUGCAUCGCAUGUGGGGCAAGCGUGAGGCAGGUCUGGGGCCCAGAACCUUCUCUACCGAACCUCAGCAUCCUCCCUUAUUAACACCUUACCAAACGGAUCCCAUAAUCCCUGAUUCCUUCAGAGAGUACUUAUAGGCCUCCCACUGUACACAAUUGUGAGAAAGGGGAGGCAUGUCAUGAACUGUUGGUUGGUGCUCCAGUGUGAGGAGCUCUGAUGGGGACAUUAAACCCUGGGGGUGGGCGUGGAGUUUGAGAAGAUUAACUGUCCAAAAGCUGGUGGAACCAAGCCAGUUUCUGGCAACUUCACAGAUAGAAAAGAGUCACAGGGCAGGUAGAGGUUAACAGAAGGGAUCUGGGGAACAUUUUGAUGUUGCUGUUGAUGCUGAUAGGGGGCCACAGGGCUUUGGGGAGUGUCAGAACCAGCCCAUACAAGAAAGAGACCCCGACCCACACUCAGUAGUUUUACUCUUCAGUCUUAGGACUGGAAGGGAGGCCAGUUUAGAAACUAGGUCGAAGUAGUGGUAAAAUGCGGGUGGGAACCGAAUGAAGUAAGCCUGGCUCCACCGGUCACCAGUGUGUGGGUUUAGGCAAGUACUUAACCCCCCUGAGCAUCACUUUCUCCGCCUCUAAAGGAAGGUAACAAUACUGCGUACCUUGCAGGUUUGUUGGGAAAGUUAGAAAAGCCAGUGUUUGUGAAACACUUAGCUCUGGCUGCCACCUAAUAAGCUCUAAGUUGCCAGGAGGCAGAUUGGGCCUCUCUAAGAAAUUUUUCUGCCUUGGAUCAGUCUUAUCCACAAAAAGAAGAGCCUCGCUCCCCCAGCAAGCGUUUAAACAUUUAAAUGUGUGCCCGGCACCUAGUGUGCUCCCUGCUCAGUGUGGUGGUAAAGAAGAAGAAAAUGCAGUUUCUAGCUGGAGUCCUGAUUUGCUGAUUGUGUGAGCCUGCCCCAAUCUGAGUCUUUUCUUCCCCUUAAAUAUAAGAGCAAUCAAGCAAAGAUUAUGGAUCGGUGUUACGUAAUGUUUAUUUGGUACCAGAGUAACCACGAACAUCAUUUCCUAGAAGGAAGGUGGUGAAAAAAAGUCCCUUGGUGAGCUGAAGUCCAUCUGGGCAUUUCAAAGAGUGAGCAAAUUAGACAGGGUGUGUCUUUCCAUGCACUGUACCAUGAAGUGGACACCGCCUCACAUGUGUUCUAGCCACAAACUUUCAUUUGAAUCAUUCUUGCCCCUAAAUGAAACUUCUAGUUCACCGGAAACUCUUGCACAGUGUCACAAAGUAAAUAAGAGCAAGAAAAGUUAACUAGAUGGCUGCGAGGAAGGCUGUGUACAGGAAGCUGACCAGGAUGGUCCAGUGGGUCAGUGGCCAGAACUGCAGGAAGGCACCAUAUGAAACAAUCUGAUGCACGUAAUGAUCAGAUGCCACCCUUACACUGGUACUGAAAAACCAACCGUAAGCAACUUUUGAUGGAGUGAGAUGGGGAAAUUAAUCUGUGUAUUAAAAGAGAUGAACUUUUGCUGCAAUAGAAAAGGCAGAAGUUGUUGGCUAAAAAACAAGAGAUAAAGUAGUACGUAUAAUGUGAUCACAUUUUAGUUAAACGGUACUUAUAUGUAAGAAAAAGAACAGGCGAUACACAUUAAGGUAUUAAGGUAGUAAGAAAAUAAUGCUUUUACUUAUAUAUUUUUGGUUUCUGUAUUUUUAAAUUUUUCAUAAUGCUUCUGUAAUACAUGAAAUGUUAUUUAGUAAAUAAAAUAUAU